rnacentral:rRNA from 1 species
UGGGGAAUAUUGCGCAAUGGGGGCAACCCUGACGCAGCAACGCCGCGUGAUUGAAGAAGGUCUUCGGAUUGUAAAAAUCUUUAAUCAGGGACGAAGAAAAUGACGGUACCUGAAGAAUAAGCUCCGGCUAACUACGUGCCAGCAGCCGCGGUAAUACGUAGGGAGCAAGCGUUAUCCGGAUUUACUGGGUGUAAAGGGCGUGUAGGCGGGCUUGUAAGUUGGAAGUGAAAUCUCGGGGCUUAACCCCGAAACUGCUUUCAAAACUGCGAGUCUUGAGUGAUGGAGAGGCAGGCGGAAUUCCCAGUGUAGCGGUGAAAUGCGUAGAUAUUGGGAGGAACACCAGUGGCGAAGGCGGCCUGCUGGACAUUAACUGACGCUGAGGCGCGAAAGCGUGGGGAGCAAACA